CUAGCACUUUCACAGGUCCUCCCCCAGAUCGUGGGGCCAGGAUUUGGUAGCUGGUGUUAAAAUUGAAAACCCUUGCUGAUAUCUUUGCCCUGGGACUGUGUCAGUGGCAACUGUCAAUCGAUGGGACAGAG
ensembl:snoRNA SNORA30 small nucleolar RNA, H/ACA box 30